AGAAAUUUAGGUUACACCAAACCAAGGGCCUUCAAAGCCCUAAACAGGGACACACCCCCUAAUUUCUG
rnacentral:tRNA from 1 species